UACGUAGGGAGCAAGCGUUGUCCGGAAUCAUUGGGCGUAAAGCGCGCGUAGGCGGCCCCGUAAGUCCGCUGUGAAAGUCAAAGGCUCAACCUUUGAAAGCCGGUGGAUACUGUGGGGCUAGAGUCCGGAAGAGGCGAGUGGAAUUCCUGGUGUAGCGGUGGAAUGCGCAGAUAUCAGGAGGAACACCAAUAGCGAAGGCAGCUCUCUGGGACGGUACUGACGCUGAGACGCGAAAGCGUGGGGAGCGAACAGG
rnacentral:rRNA from 1 species